rnacentral:rRNA from 1 species
AUUGAACGCUGGCGGCAGGCCUAACACAUGCAAGUCGAACGAGUGGCGGACGGGUGAGUAAUGUCUGGGAAACUGCUUGAUGGAGGGGGAUAACUACUGGAAACGGUAGCUAAUACCGCAUACCAUCAGAUGUGCCCAGGUGGGAUUAGCUUGUUGGGGGGGUAACGGCUCACAAAGGCGACGACCCCUAGCUGGUCUGAGAGGAUGACCAGCCAAACGUGAACUGAGACACGUGCCAGACUCCUACGGGAGGCAGAAGUGGGGAAGAUUGCACAAUGGGCGAAAGCCUGAUGCAGCAAUGCCGCGUGUAUGAAGAAGGCCUUCGGGUUGUAAAGUACUUGCAGCGGGGAGGCGUUACCCGCAGAGGAAGCACCGGCUAACUCCGUGCCAGCCGCCGCGGUAAUUC